UGAGCAACCUGCCCUUGACCCAGGAAUAACAGCUGGAAACAGCUGCUAAUACCGGAUACGACCUCCGAUGGCAUCAUCUGGAGGUGGAAAGCUCCGACGGUCAAGGAUGGGCCCGCGGCCUAUCAGCUUGUUGGUGAGGUAACGGCUCACCAAGGCGACGACGGGUAGCCGGCCUGAGAGGGCGAUCGGCCACACUGGGACUGAGACACGGCCCUGACUCCUAGGAGA
rnacentral:rRNA from 1 species